rnacentral:rRNA from 1 species
CGCCGCCGGACGCGCGCCCCCCAAUUUCGUCCCAAAAACCGCAGAUCGGAGAGGGCAACAGCGGAGGAGAGAGGGGUGAGGCUCGGGGGAGAGGAGGGGCGGAAGGCGCGGCGGAGCGGGGCGGAGCUCUACGCCUCGGAGCGGCAGCGCUCGGGGCAGGGCGGUCGGCGGCGGGUAGCUGCCUCCGAGGCCGGCAGGCGGAGGCCGUCCCUUCAUCAAAGUGUUACAAACUUCACACUCUAUUUAGUCCUGGCUGGAUACCCUCGAGAUUCCUAUCCAGUGAGAGUUCCUUUAAACGGUUCUGUACCAAGCUUCUUAGACGAGUGUGGUCGACGACGGUAAAGUCAACUUGUUCAACUUCAGUCAUGGAUAGAAGGUUUUCCACUAUACACCAGACACGUGUUCAAACCACCGUGAACGUACCCUUGUGGAGUCUCUUAAGUCUUACAACGACUACAUCAAGAACCACUGAGAAGGCUCUCCUUCGACUAUUAACAGAGACGUUACAGGUUUCAAUGACUGUACUACAUGUCAGAGCACGUAUUCCGAGUCAGUUCCCUACUAAGAAUGUGUCUUCUUAACCUAUUUCAAAAACUCUUCGUAUACCGACGUCGCUUUCUAGAAGAACUACCUCUUUUGGAACGUUCUAAAAACAGAGUCAACGUAAGCCUGUAGUCAUUGGACUCUCGUUACGAAGCACGAUAAAUAUAUCGACCUGUACGUUGUCUUAGAAAGAGACUUAAGCAACAACCCGUACCCCUCAACACCAGUAGAGUCUACGAUAGCAUACGACACGUCUUCAGACCUCGUAGAACAUCAACCUACCUAUGUUCUCUUCAAGAUCAACAUUUUGGAUCACCAGGACUGUACCAUCUAGGACUAAUACUCCUUAGACUCUUCGCUGAGCUCUUUACCAAAAGUGCGGUUGGACGACUCUAUUAUCAACGAUGACCGAAAUAGCGCUCAUGUCGACUUUUGUAGGGAUGAUGAGACUUUUCCCUACCUUCGCUAAAGAGUCGUCGUUAUUAACCAAGAGAACAAUCCCGUGCGGUCCAGUGUUAGACCUGGCUACAACUACCCCAUAAAUCACGGCUAGGAUCUUUUCAGUCGCUCCGACACUAGAAUUCGUGUAAUAGUAUAGUCCUCCGGACCCUUUACAGUAUGAAACCUCGUUUACACAACGUAGGGGCAUGGUAAUAUGGACACUACUUUCUGUUAUAAGGGUAACAGUAAUCCUUGUACAAGUUAGAGAGACGGGGACCUUGACACUAAACGUUCGUCGGACGAUUGCUUCUACGACUAGACCUACGAACACAGUUUAGUAAACGAUGAUAUCUAUUUAACCGGGAACAAUUGCAACUUCCUUGACCUUACCGACCACAAGGUCCAUGUAGUUCACGGUAUAAAUCACGACAUUUUCUCCAGCCUCGAUUACAAUAGUACUAUAGAGUCCGAUCGUCACUUGUGAGCUAUACAAAACGACAAGGUCUUUUCCUUCAACGUCGUCAGAGACGUCGGAACGUACAAUCCAAAGCACUCCGUAAUCGUCGUCCUUCCGAGAGAUUCCAACUUCAGUAAGUACUAACGUCGUAAGAACGACGACAACCGGACUCUUACCGUUCAUGAGGACCUCAGUCACGUUAGGAAAAACUACGCGAUCGUUUCCGUUUGUAAUUACAUGCUCGUUAUCGAGUUCCAACGUCACUCAUGUUAUAAUGACAACAUAACUUCGUUCUUCUAACACAGUCCCGAGAUUCUCGACGAGUGAGUUCCAAGAAGGAGAGUUUUUGGUGUGAACGAUAACCCCAGUAACCUGGACCAAACUAACCCCGUUGUGACGAGUUGGUCGAGUCCCUGGUCCAUCGUCAGGACUUCCUUUUAUACUUAUAACUACACGCACAGUAGCCUUAUUGACCGCGUUCGUGCUACGAAAACUCACUGUGCCCUCAUCUGGAUUGGUCCACCUUUCUUCUUUACGUUUUCCUUCGUUUUGGUCGACUAGAACGAUUAAAACAAGCGGUAAACAGACUCCUGGUACACAAAGGUUUGUUUCAUAACCACCUGACGUGUCGUCUAUGUUUACACCGUAGAGUGAUGAUACUAACCAACUUCUUCCCAUAGGUACAGUAGUGUGGCUUAUUUUUUCGUUUAAGACCAGGUGAACUAGCCAUAGACUUUGAUUCCUGAGAUGUCGCACGUAGUAUAUGAGUAAUGAAAAUACUUCGUUGACAACCACGUCCGGACGGUUAUUAAUCGUGGGACGCUCCAGAAGACCUCUGUCCACUGUUCUAUAACGCAUAACUUCCGUAAAAGUCACCUUGAGACUCAAUAUAAAAGUUGUUAAAACUUCCUUGUUCCUCGAAAUCACUACAACAACGACUUCGUUUUCUUCGACCUAUGUGACUCGGUCUGGGUUCUCUACUAGAUAGACCUUGUCUACAACGGUCUUUCCAGUAAUAGGAACGUUCCCUCAGACCAAACUCUGAACUCGAAAGCCUAUAGGGCCAUCUCUCGGAACACGGUCUCCGCGAUUUCAGUACGAGCAGCGGUUUACUUAAGUACGUUUUCGAUGGUAGCAAACUGGUCCUAACCCGGUCUGUCGCGGUACUCCGACUCCGACGUCCGCUUCAUGACGCCAUACACCCUCACCACCUGCACGACUUGCCUUUCCCUUCCCAUCUUGACGUCUCCAUGUUCUCCCUGGUGGGUAAACGGGUCGAUAGACCAAGGCUGUUGUAGUAGCGGAAGUGGUGAAGCUCCAUGUUCCUCGUCGGCGACUAGCACGCUCCCGGCCCGCGUCCGCGCCUCCACUGACGGCCUCCGCAGAAGACGCUGUAGGACGCCGACCGCAGGAUGGAGCCGCGGGGGAGUAUCUGUAGACGCGGACAUAACCAUCUAAAAGACCCCAUCUGCCUGCCGUUGAACAUGAGAAGAACGUGUUAUAACCUGAACCAUCGUAAAACAAGACUUACGAACGCUCCUUUCGUUUAUUCCACAAAACAAAACAAAACAAACGGUGGGUCAGGGUCCGGUACGGUGUUGACAAUGAUUUAAUAGUUACGUUAUUAUUUCUUCCCUUACGGAGAAAGAUGUU